AGCAGCGUGGCUCAGUGGAAGAGCCUGGGCUUGGGAGUCAGAGGUCAUGGGUUCGAAUUCAAGCUCUGCUA
rnacentral:tRNA from 1 species